GGGGAAUCUUCCGCAAUGGGCGAAAGCCUGACGGAGCAAUACCGCGUGAGGGAUGACGGCCUGUGGGUUGUAAACCUCUUUUCUCAAGGAAGAAACUCUGACGGUACUUGAGGAAUAAGCAUCGGCUAACUCUGUGCCAGCAGCCGCGGUAAUACAGAGGAUGCAGGCGUUAUCCGGAAUCACUGGGCAUAAAGCGUCUGUAGGUUGUUUGCCAAGUCUGCUGUUAAAGACUAGGGCCUAACCCUGGGAAAGCAGUGGAAACUAGUGAGCUUGAGUGUGGUAGAGGUAGAGGGAAUUCCUGGUGUAGCGGUGAAAUGCGUAGAUAUUAGGAAGAGCACCAAUGGCGAAAGCACUCUGCUGGGCCAUAACUGACACUGAGAGACGACAGCUAGGGGAGCAAAUGGGAUUAGAUACCCCAGUAGUC
rnacentral:rRNA from 1 species